ACCAGCAUAGGGAAGGGCACAUCAGGCAGGUGGAACAGCACGUGCAAAGGCAGAAACAGAUGACAUAGGUCAGUAUGGCCUAAGCAUAGGAUAAAAAAAAAAAAAAAGAAUCCCAAUGGGGCUCAAAGGCUGGGUGACAGUCCUCAGCACAUCCCCCUCUCAUAAUGGGAUAGACCUUCUUUCCAAAUAAAGAGUCCUCUCUCAAGUAAACAGAGCUUCCCUCUAUCCCUGAUUAAAACUGGAAAGUGGCAAGAAGAAAAUGUGUCAAGUAGGAAGAUGCACAUACAGGAUGUGUUCAUGCAGGGAUGUAACAUUGAUGGUGACCUUGUGUGAGCUACUUCACCUCCCCUGGCCUCAGUUUCCUCUUCUACAAGGUAUGGUUCAUAGAGGUGCCCAUUGCAUUAUCUUGUAAGAAUGUAAUUCGAUGAUGCAUGGUGAUGCCUAGAAGUCACCUAAUCAAUAUUACCUGUGCAUAUCGUUCUUUUCUGCAAUAUUUUUUU
rnacentral:lncRNA from 1 species